rnacentral:rRNA from 1 species
GUGGGGAAUCUUGCGCAAUGGGCGAAAGCCUGACGCAGCCAUGCCGCAUGAAUGAUGAAGGUCUUAGGAUUGUAAAAUUCUUUCACCGGGGACGAUAAUGACGGUACCCGGAGAAGAAGCCCCGGCUAACUUCGUGCCAGCAGCCGCGGUAAUACGAAGGGGGCUAGCGUUGCUCGGAAUUACUGGGCGUAAAGGGCGCGUAGGCGGACAGUUUAGUCAGAGGUGAAAGCCCAGGGCUCAACCUUGGAAUUGCCUUUGAUACUGGCUGUCUUGAGUACGGGAGAGGUGAGUGGAACUCCGAGUGUAGAGGUGAAAUUCGUAGAUAUUCGGAAGAACACCAGUGGCGAAGGCGACUCACUGGCCCGUUACUGACGCUGAGGCGCGAAAGCGUGGGGAGCAAACAGGAUUAGAUACCCCAGUAGUCC